UAGGGAAUCUUCCGCAAUGGGCGAAAGCCUGACGGAGCAACGCCGCGUGAGUGAUGAAGGUCUUCGGAUCGUAAAACUCUGUUAUUAGGGAAGAACAAAUGUGUAAGUAACUAUGCACGUCUUGACGGUACCUAAUCAGAAAGCCACGGCUAACUACGUGCCAGCAGCCGCGGUAAUACGUAGGUGGCAAGCGUUAUCCGGAAUUAUUGGGCGUAAAGCGCGCGUAGGCGGUUUUUUAAGUCUGAUGUGAAAGCCCACGGCUCAACCGUGGAGGGUCAUUUGAAACUGGAAAACUGGAGUGCAGAAGAGGAAAGUGGAAUUCCAUGUGUAGCGGUGAAAUGCGCAGAGAUAUGGAGGAACACCAGUGGCGAAGGCGACUUUCUGGUCUGUAACUGACGCUGAUGUGCGAAAGCGUGGGGAUCAAACAGG
rnacentral:rRNA from 1 species